rnacentral:rRNA from 1 species
AGGGUUUGAUUAUGGCUCAGGAUGAACGCUAGCUACAGGCUUAACACAUGCAAGUCGAGGGGCAGCAUGAUUGAAGCUUGCUUCAAUUGAUGGCGACCGGCGCACGGGUGAGUAACACGUAUCCAACCUGCCGACAACUCUGGGAUAGCCUUUCGAAAGAAAGAUUAAUACCGGAUGGCAUAGUCUUCCCGCAUGGGAUGACUAUUAAAGAAUUUCGGUUGUCGAUGGGGAUGCGUUCCAUUAGGCAGUUGGCGGGGUAACGGCCCACCAAACCAACGAUGGAUAGGGGUUCUGAGAGGAAGGUCCCCCACAUUGGAACUGAGACACGGUCCAA